GGAGAGUUGUCCGAGUGGUUGAAGGAGCACGCCUGGAAAGCGUGUAUACGGGAUAACCGUAUCGAGGGUUCGAAUCCCUCACUCUCCGCCA
rnacentral:tRNA from 9 species